UACGAAGGGGGCUAGCGUUGCUCGGAAUCACUGGGCGUAAAGGGUGCGUAGGCGGGUCUUUAAGUCAGGGGUGAAAUCCUGGAGCUCAACUCCAGAACUGCCUUUGAUACUGAGGAUCUUGAGUUCGGGAGAGGUGAGUGGAACUGCGAGUGUAGAGGUGAAAUUCGUAGAUAUUCGCAAGAACACCAGUGGCGAAGGCGGCUCACUGGCCCGGUACUGACGCUGAGGUGCGAAGGCGUGGGGGAGCAAACAGGG
rnacentral:rRNA from 1 species